rnacentral:rRNA from 1 species
CCAAUAGCGUAUAUUAAAGUUGUUGCAGUUAAAAAGCUCGUAGUUGAAUUUCGGGAUUAGUGCGCCGGUCGUGCCUUCGGUAUGUACUGGUGUUACUGAUUCCUACCUUCUGACGAACCGUCAUGUCAUUAAUUUGGUGUGGCGGGGAAUCAGGACUGUUACUUUGAAAAAAUUAGAGUGUUUAAAGCAGGCUCGCGCUUGAAUACAUUAGCAUGGAAUAAUGAAAUAGGACGUUCGAUCCUAUUUUGUUGGUUUCUAGGAUUGACGUAAUGAUUAAUAGGGAUAGUUGGGGGCAUUAGUAUUCAAUUGUCAGAGGUGAAAUUCUUGGAUUUAUUGAAGACUAACUACUGCGAAAGCAUUUGCCAAGGAUGUUUUCAUGAAUCAAGAACGAAAGUUAGGGGAUCGAAGACGAUCAGAUACCGUCGUAGUCUUAACCAUAAACUAUGCCGACUAGGGAUCGUAUGAUGUUAUUUUUAAUGACUCAUUCGGCACCUUACG